GUCUGCUCAAGCUUGGUUGACAUAUCUUAAUUUCCCAGAGGAACAUGCACAUUCUGAAAAGGCUUACCAAGUAAAGGUCAGCCUUGCUCAUUCUCGAGGCAUUUUCUCUUCAACUGGUGUUCAUCAUGGAGAUUCUUCUCAUAUUGAAUUUUCAGUGUCUGUACCACCUCAUCGUUCAGAACAUGUUGAUUUAAAUAAUGAAGGGAAAAUCUCUUGGAGUGAUGAAAGUUUCUGCACUCAUGACACACAGUUUCUUGAGUCAGCUCUGAUUAACUUGUUCCAUCUGGAAAGAACCAAGAUAGAUGAAACAGUGGUGGACUAUCAGUGGAAUAUUACGACCAUCA
rnacentral:misc_RNA from 1 species